UGUUAAGAUGACAGAAUAUUGUGAAGGACUUAAGAUUCUUUUAUGAAAAUUAUAUGGAUUUUCUCUUAAUAA
rnacentral:tRNA from 1 species